ACGGGAGGCAGCAGUGGGGAAUAUUGCACAAUGGGGGAAACCCUGAUGCAGCAACGCCGCGUGAAGGAAGACGGUUUUCGGAUUGUAAACUUCUGUUCUUAGUGAAGAAUUCUGACGGUAGCUAAGGAGCAAGCCACGGCUAACUACGUGCCAGCAGCCGCGGUAAUACGUAGGUGGCAAGCGUUGUCCGGAAUUACUGGGUGUAAAGGGAGCGCAGGCGGGAGAUCAAGUCGGCUGUGAAAACUACAGGCUUAACUUGUAGACUGCGGUCGAAACUGGUUUUCUUGAGUGAAGUAGAGGCAGGCGGAAUUCCGAGUGUAGCGGUGAAAUGCGUAGAUAUUCGGAGGAACACCGGUGGCGAAGGCGGCCUGCUGGGCUUUAACUGACGCUGAGGCUCGAAAGUGUGGGGAGCAAACAGGAUUAGAUACCCUGGUA
rnacentral:rRNA from 1 species